UUAGCAAAUUGAGUGCAGCACACUCCGUCUGCCACAGCGGUAGCCAAGUCAAGUCUCUGUGGCAGCCAUCUCUGGCAGCCCUCCUGGCAGUGAUGGAGCAGUGGGUCAUCACGGUCAUCGUGAUGAGGGCGUGACACAAAAUAUUCGUUUUUGGCUUUCAUCUACUGAAACAGCCCAUUCCUGCUUUGCUCCUAAUCCAUUGACAUGACAAAGCACUGUGGCUGUGACCAAGAUGUUCCAGAAAACAUCCCUUCAGAGUUACAAACCUGUGCAUACAUGAAUAUCUUAAGAAGAUAUGAGACUCUUGUACUCUUUCUAUCCUCCUAAAGCUAUAUCAAAUCUGAACACAUAAAGAAGCUAAGCAAGAGGGAGGAACCUGGGUAAGAUGUGUCUGCUGAACAGCAAGCAUGGGGCUGGAAUAUGUGAACAACAGAAUCUAUUCUCAGCUGCCUCGAUUGGACUCCCACAAAACAGGCAUUCUUAGCUCUGUGGGAGCCUGUCUCACAGUGACGUGGUGCUUGGACCCUAUGGGUUCAUUUAGUUGCUUGAUGUUCUCACAUCAAGACUAUUUAUGGAACUGGAGCAAUGUUCCAGUCUCUCUAGUUGAAACAAGAUUCCUCAGGCCUGACAUGGA